rnacentral:lncRNA from 1 species
CAGUAAGUAGUCAAUAUAAGAAUCCAACCAGUCAAUCAAAGAAUCAGACUUAUUACGAGCUGAGAAGGAAUUUGAUGACCCAGGGGAUCUAUUAUGUUCGGUGGGAAGGUAAGCUUUGAAGGGAAUUGAUACGAAAAAGGGGUGCGAGAAUCAAUAGAAAGAAUGUCAAUACCAGAGGAUGUUGCCAAUCCGUGCGUGAUCGGAGAAGGUAGAAUUCGAAUAGAAUAGUGAAAGACUUAUUAAGUCUAUAAGAAGCAAAAGAAACAAACAGGGUGAGGGUGAAGAUUCGAUUCUCGGGCAAGGGUUGGGGAGCAGCAGGCAACCAGAAGAAACUGCUGGUAUGAAGAAACUGCUGGUAUAAAGGUGCAGAUUAAUAAUGAGCAGUUAGUCUUAUUAAAUGAGUUGAGUUGUUUCCUUACAUCAAAUGAAAAAGUUUUGGAUAUAUAUUAAUACAUACAGACUAAUAGUUUGGUUGUAGGAAGGAAGGACUCUUUCCUUAUUGAGGGAUAUUCUAAACAAAGGCAAGACAAGACCUCUUUAAAAGAAAUUGGCAAGUAGAGAUGAGUACAGCUACAGCCGCCCUAUUUUCGAAAGGUUGACUUUUAUUAACGAAUGGAUCUAUGUUUCAGUCUUUCCCUAAGGUAAUUACCGUCGUUGGGAGUUGUAGUUGGAGAGUAGGUAAGACGUUCAUCUCUAUUCCUUUUUCGUAUGCCUUUCUAAUGCCUUGGAUUCUGUCUGUCAUUCCUUUUGUAGGUAGGCCUUCAGACGUCCAUACGCUCGAAUGCAGUUCCUGUCAGUGAGAAAAAGGGGGCUUUGAAAGCGGAGUUGUUGUAGGUAUUCGAUUGGCGGUUUAUUCCUCCCUUAUCCUUGCUAGCCAGCCAGUCACAUUCCUUCUACAACAAAAGGGAGAAAGUGAGUUUUCGUAUCGGCAUUAGAAGGAAUGCAAGUAUAGUUUUGGGGAUAAGAAUCCGUAUCAAGGUAAUAAACAGAAGAAUUCGCCGGGUAUUUAUAGAAUCAUUAGCCAGGUAUUUAUGAUAGAUUUCUUAUAUUAUAUAAAGAAGUAACCAACCAGCGCGCCUCUUUUCUUCCAUUCCAUUAGUAUUGUUUGAAAUUCCAUUCUCUAUUUCCAGGGGCCAUUGGGUAAUAAAUAGUGGUACAAAGAUCGGGAGGAGGGUCUUCAUCGUCAUCAAGUAUAGUUCUAUAUUCCAGUCUCAUUCUAGAAUAAGGAUUGGAAGCCGAGGGUUAGGGUGAGGAAUCCGGAUCUUCUCCUGCACUGGUUGUAGUGCUUUAGCCGCCCGGUUACGCUCCUAGUAUAGUAGUAUUAGUUCGGAACUGCAAGUUGUGUUUGAGUUGAAUCUAUGAUUGAAUCAGAGGCGAAAGUUCGAGUUCAGGUUGCGUGCUUCGCUUUUUCCCUUGAUUUUAUUGUCGCACAAGAAAGAGAGAAUCCGCCGUGAAGCAGAAGUAGAGUUCACCUCGAGAAUUGUGGAAUUGUGACGUAACUUAGUUAGUAUAUCAAUCUGUCACUGGAGAGUACAGUACACACUCCUUUCCUUCGCUUUCAAGGGCGAGUAGAACUCCAUUCUUUGGACCACUAUCUGUAAUUCCUAACGCUGAAAACUAUACUACAGAUACAGAUAGAGCUGGGUAAGAGGAUGGAAAGUCUAGUUCUGGUAAAUAAUAUAGUACUUGCUCUGUAUUUGUUGAGUUCGCAAGUAAUGCAAGUAAUAGUCAUAUUAAUAUCUGGUAUUAUAGUGGUUAAGCGUAAGAUAUCUGGUAUUAUAGUGGUUAAGCGUAAGCAGAAGAGUUUAAAGGUAAGGGCCCUACUUAUGAUUAAUGCUCAUUGAGUAUAGAAAUGAAUUGGUAAUCAGAGUCAGUCCGUCUUGUUUCGGGAGUGAAAAGAGACUGUUCACCUUGGUUCAUUAUAAGUCUUAAUUGCGGAAUUGAUGUUUGAAUGCGAAGUUGAAGCCGAAGAGAAUCUAGCUCGAAUUGAAUGGCCACCUAGCGCUUUAGCAGUGCUUGUUAAGUCUACAACAGAAGAAUCCGUUCUUGUUAAGUCUACUUCUCGACUUGAUGAAUCGAUUACAGCUUGAAGUUCAGAAUGGGAAUAUUUCCUCUUAUCUUGCACUUAUUGCACAAGGUAGAGAAAUCUUAGUAAAGGCUAACAAAGUACUCUUCAUUCUCUAGGGCGAACAGCAGACUUUCCUUUCCGGACUUAACUAGCACAAAAAAAGAUAUUAUACACAAGGAGCUACAGCCUACUUCACUUCUCAGAUCCAGAUCUUUAUCAGAAACAGAAGAAUUCGCCGGAGGUCAUAUAGAGAAAAGUCACCAACCUAGUGGGCUUGUUUCUUCCCUUUAAGAAUGGAAUUACAGAAUGAAGAUACUUACGGCAACACCGCAUUUAGAGUGAAAGAAGAGAGUGAAAGAAGAGAGUGCCGCUCCAUAGACUAAAUCCUUUGUUGAAAAGGCGCACUAUAAUCAACGGAGCUACUUCCAUUCCUAUCUUAUACGUAGGCAAAAGAGAAAGAUUCCAUAAAAGGUGGUGGUUGACAAUAUAACUCACUGCCCCUAGUGUUCAUCUCCUCUUGCUACAGCCAAACAACAACUAAUGAACUCUCCUUAUUCUUACCUUAGAGUGAAUUUAAGACUUUCAAUUAAGAGCGCUAGGUUGGGUGCCAGCUUCCAUCUUCCCUGGAUAUUAAUGACUUAUCGGAGUAGUAGAAUGAGCUAGGUAUGAUAGUUCUAUUACUAUAUGAAGAGUCGCGGUAACUAUUAAUGACUCGGAAAGGUGAAAGUAUUGUUCCAGUCAUCAAGUCUAAAUUCGGGUGCCAGGUAGCUGGGUGUUAGAGAUGCAAAAGUCAGUAAUAGGCUCAUAAAGAAACAGGGAAAGUCGUUUAUACGAGAUCAUAAGCCAGAGCAGUAUCCAAUCAGUCAACUACAAUCGGUUCAACAAGUCCAGAGGAAUCAGUUAAAGUGCAGCUCCCGACCCGACCAGAGAGAGAAGAAAAGAAGCUUUUGCACUUGUAUAACACUUUGUAACUAGAGAGUACACUCCUUCUUCGCCCUACUAGUAAAGAAGAGAAUUGCCUGUUUAUUGUAUUUCUGCAGGAGUCGAAUAAAGAUCAUAAGCCUUAAGCCGAAGAUCAUGCCCACUACAAGGUUCAAAAGUAAGCGGGAAAGAAAUCAGUAGAUUUGGGGUCUGGUGCUUAUAUUCUUUACAAAGAGAGUCAGCACUAUAUUCUUCACAAAGAGAGUCAGCAAGGGAACUAAGUGCAUUAGCCUGCCUGGCGCACACACAAGGUGCUUCAAGCCUAUCUAGCGCACACUUGUUCGAAAUCAUUGAAUUGAAACACCUAUUACAGAUUCAUUUCAUUUAAGAAAAUCAUUGAACUUACAGACAUAUAGAAUUGAGUAAAGACACUGCUUCCCUUUCGCCAACACCAACACGAGACACUGAUUGAAUUCCGACAUUUGCAUUGAGAACAGAACUAGACUUGACAAGCACAGCUCAUUAUUGAGUAUAGUAGACUUUCCUUACACCCCCAGCAAGAGUAGAGUAUAGUAUACUUUCCUCUUUUGAUAUAGAAAACUUGACUCGUUACUAACAGCAACUCAGGUACUCAUAAUAUAUAAUAUACCUUGAACUAUUGAUGGCUGAACACAUAUAGCAAGUAGGCAAGCAACUCACUUGAAUAACGGACCUACUGGACACCCCUAAUAGAUUGAUUCGAUAGUGGAUUCGGCUUGUCUGCAAGUCUACUUUACGAGUGGAAUCCUUGUUGUCGAUUCCACAAUGUUUCUUGUCCAGAGCCCGAGUCAAUUAGUCAUUCUGAUCUUUUUGUCCCCUGACGCACAACCAACGUCUUCUCCUAUCAAGUGGAGCUAACUCCCUUAUUUGGAAGAUAUGGUUUCUCAUUAAAAGAAGAGGCCCUACGGGGUAGAGGCUAGGGAGGGAGGAAAAAGAAUCAAUAUCAAGAAGGAUUGAUUUUACAUAAAAUGAUGCUUUCGGAGGGGAGAGCGAUUUCUUAGGCAGGCGGUUAAAGAUUCACACCUACCUUUUUCACUCUACCCGACCCUCACUAACUCUCACUCUUUACUUUCAAACAGGACCUUAUAGUAAUUCGGCAGCAGACUUCAAUGGUAGUUUGCUUGGCGAAUCAAACACAAAAGUGAGAACUAAUCCACCAAUACACGAAUAUUUCUCCUAUGGAAUAAGGGCGGAGAGGCUACAUCAGAAUUUCCCUCUACAACCAGUAUAUUAGCAUAAGGCUAUGGACCAGUAUAUUAGCAUAAGGCUAUGGAUGAUAACUACGGAACCUCCAUGAAACUUUUACACCGAUGUGAAGCUGGCAACUGAAGCGCAUGGGAUAGAACCAAGGCCAGUGAAAGAAAGAAGAAGCUACUGCCCCGCCCCGACUAGUUAGAAGCAAAUACUAACUAACAAGACAGCCACAGCUGUUUUUGAAUAAGAAGAAACCCCAGCUUGAGCCCUAUUUUGAAUAAGAAGAAACCCCAGCUUUAGCCCUAAUUUCCCUAGAAAUAGAAUAAUGCCUUAUAAGAUGUAAAAUCAUAGGCGCAUCUAAUAAUAGGAAAAGAGUCAACCAAGCCUAACUCAACAGGGAGUCGAUCUUGAUACGCCCGCCCACCACUAUGCAAACUGACCUCACCAACUAUAACGAAAAUGAUACGUUUCCCCACCUUUGAGGUUUCCUCUCCUGGGACCUAAUCUGACUUUCCUAUAUAUCAUUCUCUACCUUAGAUUGCCGAGUUGCACCCUACCUACACCAACAAAGGACAAGCAGUACACGCCCUAUUCUAUGUCCCAGAGCAGACCAAGCCUCAUUGCCUCACCUUUCAAACUACCCAUCUUUGUUUUCGUCCUGUAACACUUCCUUUUUGAUCUAUCUACUCUUUUCACUAACCCAGUAUAUUAUACUGUAGCUACUAAUACCAUCAGGCUGUAGCUACUACUUUGAAUAAUGAAAGAAAACAGCCAACAGUACUAUGCCAACAAAACAGGAACUUCCAACUAGGGAUCCAAACUCUGGCACCAAGACUGCAGCUAACUACUAUUAGAGUCAAAUAAAGAAUAUAGAGGUAUGCUCCAGCGCCAUACAGGAAAGAAGCUCAAAUAAGUGCAAUCAGGAACCAACUCAGAACAAUAAGAGUAGAACUCUCGGUCUUGUAGCUCCUUGCUUUAAGUCUAGCGCUGCUUGCUAAACUCUAACUUCUCACUCUAGUCACGCAACUCCCUUAUCUAAGCCUGCCGCUACUGUAAUCAAUGCCUGGGAAGUCUAUUAAACUCUUUUAUAUCAUUCUAACUAUCCUAGUCCCAAGUCCUAUUCCCCUUGCUUUAACUCGCCAAAUCUGACUUUACUGCUUCUAGGACUCCCUACCAACAUGACUUUACUGCUUCUAGGACUGCAGUUCACCUAUUUCACUAUAACCUAUAUCCUGACUUUAGCUCUUCUGCUCCCCUCUUGGAAACUGUUCUUAUUCUUCUAGUUGUCCUGGCAUUCCUAUUAGUGUUGGCUUGGUUGGUUUACUUACAUUUCAUUAUUCUAAUCAAGAAGGUCGUGCAGCAAAGGUAGUGUCUCAUUCCCAUAGUCUUAGUUCGAAGUCUGAUCGGUGUUGUUGGCUCUAUUCCUAUGAUCGGUGUUUUUCUUCUUAUGGGAUCUACUGAUACUCUGCAUUCUAGCUGGUAUCUUUCGAAGAAACCUCAUUUAGCUAAUGAACUACCUAAGAAACUAGAAUCUAAUACCAUAUGAGAAAACAUAAGUAACCAGAAUAAUAGUCGCUGGUAGUGAAAAUAAUACCCCCAAAAGAGAGAAUGAAAGAAAGGACGGUAAGUCUAGAUCUCGAACCUAUAGGCAUUGAAGGCGGGAUCGGAAGGGGCUCAUACGAGAAUGAGAUAAAACAAGGGUAGACUAAGGGAAAGCAAGGGAAGCUAACAAAGCGCCCAGCAGAGGGAGACUCAAAGGCUGUAAAGACUGUUUAAGUGCGCCCCCAGGAUAAAGUCCUGUUUCUAUUGGGUUCAGCCCUCUUUGGUAGUAAUUUAGUACAUAAGUGGAAUAUAUCUAAUAAGGUAGUCAUCUUACUGCUCCACCUUAUUUGGAGGUUGAUUUAGGCUUUCACACCAACCAGAUUGGGAGUUUGAGACUUGAAUACCAGAUUGAGAAUUGACAAGCUACUACGCAACAAAUAACUGCUUGUGUAACGCAUUAAUGAAAUAAGUAAUAACCGCUGUAUAACGUGUUAAGGUUCAGAGCAAGUCCUUUAUUUUUCACCUAGGGAUAACACUACUUCUUCUCUAUCUUCUGAUCUAGUAUCUUCUUUUGAGUACUUUCAUCAAACUCCACCUCCCUUGAAACAAAUCAUUCUUCUUCUCAUUUAGGUAUCUUAGUAUUACGGAUUGAAUUCUGAAAUGCGCUAGACUAGAUCGUACCCUUGGCCUAUCUCCACUUUGAGUUCGGAAUGCCAUCAAGCUGCUUCUCUCGUCAAUGGAAUCCCUUGCUAUAUGGUAUAGAAUCAAGUAAAGCCGAACAGGAAUAAGCAACGAAUAAUAAGCUUAGUUGGGAGCUCAACUCAAGUAAGUAGUUCUGACUUCUCUCAUUAGAUAACAGCAUAAACGUGUUUUAUAACGUGUUAAGAACCAGUUGAUUACAAAGCAUUUCCACUCCUUGAGACUUGAUAUGGAUACCAAACAAACCUAGUGCUCCUUAUGUGGUCUACGCGGGCUAGUGUUCUAAGCGGUAUAAUACUCCUUCCUACAUUGGGUCCAAGCGGUCUAAAAGAAAAGUCAGGAUGCUAUAAGGACAUAAUCAGAAUAGACUAGGGCCUAACUCAGAAUUAAUGAAGUCAGGAUCCCCUGCCUAGGUGGGUAAGGCUAAUAAUCAGAAUAUAGCGAACGACUACUUUACUGCCUAUACCUAUAAGAACGAAACCCUAAAAGUGAGAAUCGGCUCUUAGACAGGGAAUUGAACCUCCGUGAACGAGACUUGAGUCGCUCCUAACAGGAAUGGAACUCGCCAUAGCAGGAAACCAACUACUCCACUUAUGGUAUUGGGUCCGGGAACUUGUUCUUUCACUAAUGACUUGCAUUUGAUUUACUUGUUUAUUGACUUUCGAACAGAGGAAUCAGACCUAGAUGGCCGUUUGCGAGCUACCUACAACUACAGUGAAAUAGUAUCCGCUUUAGAGCUAGGAAUAGAGGACCUAGGUUUAGGGUUUUACCUAAUAGGGAAUGCAAGAAAGCAGUUUAGCGCUACACAAACAAAACACUGUAUGUGCCAAACUCUGGAGCGGCCCUUUAGCGACCAAUUACUUAAGGGCACAUCCGAAGUAAUAACAAAUAAGAAAUCGUAUAUAUGUGGUUUCUUAUUGAAGUGGUCUUUUAGUGUCUUGGCCCAGUUGUGUUCUAGGCCUUGUCUUGUAGCUAUAGUAUGGUUGCGUAAGUCUUAGAACCAGUGUUUGAAAGCCUUAAAGGCACCAGUAUAAGCCUUAUCAGUAGUAGCACAGUUCAAUUCCUUCUUGUAAUAUAAAGAAAAAGUAUUUAAAUGCACAAUGCAGUGUUCUCUAGUUUGAAAGCGAAGAAGGGCGGGCUAACUGGUUCAAUAAGGAAUGGGUGUUCCAGGUGUAAGCCUAGAUCUCGAACUAGAGAAUCCAAUCAGUAGUUUAAGAUCCCGCAGUUACAUCCCUGAAAGCAGUAGGCUUGAAGCACCUAGUUGUGAGUUAAGAUCUUGUUUACAGUGUUUUACUUACUAGUUAGCUUAUUCGUUCUCAUCAGUAUAGGUCCAAUUCCUAUUAGCGCUAGUAGGGCUCCUAGUGGAUAUAUCAAUUAUUAUAUAGUUUUGAGGUAUUUCAAAUAAUAGAUAGGAAAGUCAGGCAUCAAGAUAGAAGUCAAAGAAUGGGAUAGAUGUAGCGCACCCAGGUAUAAGACUAUAGAGGGCAAUAGAGAAUUGACCAGUGCCUAAUAGGAUUGAAGUGGGGAGUCGUUCUGUAUGUAGUGCUACCGAUCCCGUAACUAAGUCCAUCUUUCCUAGUUAUCAAACGAAAACUCCCAUCUGUCGGCCUGUAACUCCUUCUGAAAUUACUGACCUAGUCUCUGUUGCUCCUUUAUCUUAGUCCGAGGCUCCUACCUUUCCCUUAAACGGAAAUCACUCAAAGGCAAGAUAGGUAGGUGGAAAGCAAGGUGCUGAGAGCCUACGAGAGACAGUAGAGCUAUACAAAUGGGUGGGAAGGGUAGGCUCAAACUAGAACAUAGUCGUGUCAGGUAGUAGUGACAGAGUGAGGGUCGAGCUAAAGAGUGAAAGUCAAAGGAAACAGGCUCACGGGUUAGCGCAAAGAAUCAAAGGUAUAAUAGGUAUGGGAACUUCGAGUAAAUAGCCUAUAACUAAAUGCAGGCGAGUAGGGGCAGACCGAUCGACAGGGUAGUGAAAAGAAAAAACACUAGUGAAAGACUUAAGUCAAGGCAGGACAGGGCUGCUUUGAAGUAAAGCUCCCGGCUUGGUUUUGGAUUCUGUAUUUUGAGUGUAGAGCGCAUGAGAGGUUGCCUUAUUCUAAUGAAUUCCAGAUAUCCAGUUGAAAGUAGUAGAACCAAACCAACAGAGUGACAUUAUUUCCACAUGGGAGCACAAUUCUUAUGGGUUUACCAUAUAUAAUGAAAUAGAGUUUUCAAGUGAGUGAAGUAAGACUAAUAUAUAUAGACAGGAGCUAAAGGUAGCUUUGAAGUCAGUAGUUAGUUUAGGUUCUGUUUGCCACUAGUUCCGUUAUGGGAAGAGCGACUAGGUGAAGUCUGCUACUACCAAGUUUGAUUCCGUUGAAAGCUAGUUUCGUAGCAGAUUGUUCUAUUUGCUAUUCCAAAUCCCGGGGUUUGUCAACCGGGUGGAAUUCCUACUUUUUCGUUUGAUCCCUGGGGUAAGGCAAGGCUACAUUCUUUGACUGCUGUCUUUCAUCCUUUCUAGUUCUACUGAUAUAACUAGGUUAGCUAGGCGAGAAACAAGAUAAGGCUUUGGCUGCUGUCCUUAAUUCUUUCUAUUAAAACAAAUAACUAGGUUUGUUAGGCGCUGCAGAGAACUAGUUGUGCGUCAGCUCCAAGCACUACUUACUUAACUCACUCUUAUACCUUACCUUGGCAUUCUGAUGUUGUAGCUUCCAUGCUAGCUGGAGUAUUCCCGGACUUACUUGAAAACAGCUAUUCCUUCUCGGGCAUACAGGAUAUGGUUAGUGAGUAUCGGCUUUGAACUAGUCAUAAUCAAAAUCACCCCCUAGGAAUAGAGAAUAUAGGUACUGUCCUGUCCUAUAAGACCUUAGCUACUUACUUCAAUACCGUAUCUUAUAAGAAUUCACUCAGCUACCAAAGGUCAAAACACAGCAAUAGAAGAAUCCAAGUAGAAACUGGCAAUCGAACACUGCCUAACAGACUAAAAGAAGAAGAGGAGGGGCCAAGCAACUGUUGCAUAUGACCAAUCUUCUGCAUAACUGGAUUAAUGCGGGGUUUGCUUUAAGUGAUAGAGUAUAGUUAGUCUGAAAUAAAUCAUAUAGAGAUAUAAAGAAAUAAAUCAUAUAGAGAUAUAAAAAACAAAAACGAUUGAAAAACGUAAGGCUGCUCGUCUGCCCAGACUUCCUCGGUAUGUAUUCUUUUGGGGCUCCCCGAGAAGUAAAGCACUGUAGAGCUCACAGCCCCCCCAUUAAUUUGGAAGAUAACAUCCUAACUGACUUUUUGUGAGACUCCCUCUGAGGAAUCACUGCUUGUGGUGGCGGUUACCCACUCUGAGGGCUGCCAUCUCUCACAUUCCUGCGUAUAUGAGACACUUAUGGAGUUAGACACUCCGAAACCACUAAUAUAGGCUUGAAGUGGCCAUGAAGCAUAAUAUGACACCUCCGCUUCCUGCAGAUUUCUCAUAUGAUUUACAGCUUGAUUCGUACCUAUAUGUUCCCAGUGAUGGGAGGUCUCGAAGUGCUUUUGCUGAAGCACUCCUAUAGUGAAGGGACGGUGCAGCUUAGCAAAGGUAUUGAACUGUUCCCAACGCACCUGUUGAUCCCUUAUACUUUCUAUGAGAUUUUUGGAUUGGGGCUUCAAGGGUAAAAAAACCAAAUGUAGGAAGAAGUAUUUCUCUUUCCAUUCAUCUAUGGUAUAUUCUGCAGGCUUUCAGCUCCUUGCUUUUAGGUAGUCGGAAAUUCUGUCUUGUAAGUGGCUUUCUCUGUCUUUUUGAAUACGCAUAUCCUCGAAUACAGACCGUACGGAGUUGUAGGAGGAUAGAAUGGUUUUUGAAACCCCGGGAUCCUCAUAUACCCGAUACCACUCAUCAAAGCUCUUCAGCUUACUUAUGAUUACUUGGCUUCUGCGGGGCAACCGCUUAUGGGACUCUUGUGCUUUUACAGUCUCCCGUAUUUUACUUAGAGUUUGGCUACCCCAAAUAUAUAGAUCCUUAUCCUCUUUGAGCAGGUAUUUACAAAUAGAGGUCCAUGCCUUGUAGAAGGAGAGGUUUCACUGGGCCCCUUCAAACAAAGGGAGGAUUUAUAUAAAGAGGCGGGGGGCACCUUUUCAAAUAGGCCUCUCUCAAGUAAAAGACCUAUAUGAAAGUGAUUACCCUCUUGUUGAUGCUGCUCCCUCGCUACAGCUAUGGUAAUACAAUCGUGGAUUUUUGCACUUCUGCGCUCUACAAUUUCUGCUUUAUCUAUGGAUGCUCUUAGCUCAUUAGCGUCUGCUCGGGCUAGAGUCAAUAAAAUCUAUUUCCUCAAGUUUCGAUUAUUGAUAAAGAAGGUAUUUUCUUUAUUCAUCGUACUUCAGCUACUCUUGUAUGCUGGUGAUACCACGGAUUUGACCCUCUAAAAAGAGAGUUCCUCGUUGCUUCGGACUAGUUGCUACUUAGUUUCAUUCUGACUUGACUACUUUCGAGGAUAGGUCUGCAAGGGAAUAAGUAGUUGCCAGAGGUGGAUUAGCGGUCAUAAACCGGUGAAGGGCUGAUUCAAGUUCCAUUACUGUAGUUGGCGCAAGUGAGGGAGCUGAUCUUACAGAGAGAGCUGAUCUUAUAGAUGAAACAAUAACUUCCUUUGAGACUUGAACUGAAACUCUAGCCACUGAGUCUGUGCCUGAACUGUCUUCUGGAACUGGAACUGGUGAAGAUCUUUCUGCCCUUGCCCGAGUUUCAUCUUUCUCGACUACUAAGGUAAAUCACCUCUCUUCUUUAUAGAAUGGAAAAGAGUUGGAGUUGAAUUCUUUGGCUACUUAGGCAUUUCUGACUUUGCCUACUCAGCGCAAUUCUAAUUCAGAUAUCGGAUGCGUAGGAUUUGGUCAUAUAAGUAAUUAAGUAAAGGGAAUAAACUGGAGCUUAUGGAACUCCGGCACAGGAACUGAAAGAGAAAGGUGCAAUUCAAACGGAAACUCUCGGGUGUUUGACUGAAAAGGUUAGACAACUUAUUUCGGUUCAUAAAGUGGAGACUCUGUAUCAGGAGUUUUCUCUUUAUCUGAAGCUUAUUAAUUGCCUGUUCGAGUGUUGUGUCUACUUGCAGUGCUAUCAUUUACUCAAUCAGAAGCGGGAGAGUUAGUGACCUAUUCUAUCUCAAGGGUAAGUGACCUAUUCUAUCUGCGGUAAGAGAGUGAAUUUGUAAAGAGGAAAUUCGAAACUAGAUGCUUAGGAGUAAAAGAGUCAUGUAUUUGUACUAGUAGAUGUAGUGGAGUGGUAGGUUGAAAGCCCAGAGCUAAGUAGUGAAGUGGAAUUUGUUUCAUCCCGGUAGUGGUAGUGACUUCUAGUAGUAGUAGUACAGCUCCAGUUCCGGUAUUUUAGUUACAUGCCUAUAAGGGAAGCAGUGUUGAGUAUAGACCCACCAGGUAAUAGUGGGUUCCAUACGAUCUCGGUGUUGCGGGUAAUAAAGUGUAGAGUCUAGAGUGAGUGGUUCAUAAAGUGUAGUUCUAGCAUUGUCUGCGGGAGAGAAAGAAUCAACGAGUAAAGGCUAGGCUUUGAGGCCAGAUCUACUUCAUAUGAGUAUCUUUGCUUUGUGUUCGAGGUGAAGAGUAGAGAUCUUAUCCUUCUGAAAGAAUGCCCACUACAUACUUAAGCUGUGCGAGGAGAGGUCGACAAGAGAAUCAUAAGGAUCAGAAGACACAUAAGGAUCAGUGCCAAAGUAAGCUGCUGUGAGAGUUUCAUCCUAUAGAUAAUCAGAGGUUAUAACACUUAGCGAGUUUCAACCUGCAGUUUCAAGUAGAGUCCGUUCGGUAAAAGAACCUGAUCGGGAAGAUUAUAGUCAAAAUGCACCAUCAGAGCGGGGAGGGUACCUUAAUGUACAAAUUGCCAUAAUCAAAGUUUCCAGAGGUUCAAACUUAGCAAAAAAGGCGUAUACUUAAGUCUCUGUAAGGGAGUUAUCGGAUAGCCCACGUAACCAUAUCUUCUAGCUUCUUAUUCUUAUGAUUCUGCGCCAAGAUCCUCCGUUUCUGCCUUCCAAUCUUUUCUUUUCCUGGUGGACUCUAAGCUCUCAAUGUGGCCUGGAAUGCUGGGUUAAGGUCAGAAUAUAUUCCUUCUUCCGCUUCAGUAUCAGGUAAAGAAGAAACCUUAUCUUGUAGCUUCUCUAGCUUCCUCCCCUGCUCUAAGGAAUUCAGAAUGCAAGGGAGUUGACCCUAGCCUAGACGAAACUACCGCUAUCGCUAUAAUUACUAGCUCUCGCUGCCAAUGACAUGAUAACCUCUCCGCUAAUAACCUCUUAUCUUGGAUACUUUCCCGAUUCUUUACCUGCAGAAGAUCUGUCCACUUAUGAUUCUGGAACAAUACUUUCAUCUGAUCAAUCCUAUUAUGAUGAUUACCUACCCGGGUUCUAUACACCACUGUUAACAAGGCUAUAGUUCGAAACCGGUAAUCCAACUACUACUACCGGCCUCAAAGCUGCCCUGCCUAGCUUUGAAACUAAAACCUAUACUUAUGGGGAUGGAAUCACUACUAACAGGACUUCCUUUAGUGUCAACAAUACUGUUACUACUAACUGGGAAUACAAAUACUACAAAAAAGGUCUGUGCCAUCGGCAGCUAAAGCAGCCCUUGCUUCCUGCCCUGUUACUACUCGAUCUCGGGCUAACUACCUUGACUUUUAGGCUGACUUCUUUACUUAAUUCCUCUCAUUAAUAGCUUCACUCUUUUCCUUGCUUUCCAACUUCAAAUACCCAUGAGCAAUUGCUAACCUGUCCUGCCCUUCUUUCACUCUUACACUGCUUUAUCUAAUUCUGACUAACUAAUGCACAACGACGACUACUCUAACUUAUGUAAUAUGCACUAUAUUAUUCAUAAGCUGUGAUUUCUGACUAAAUGACUUCUAUCAUAUAUGCACAUACGAGCUACAAUACUAAUAUGAAAAGGGGAAUGGAACACCCCACACCUAGAUUGAACUAGCGCUUUUGAUUCUGCAACCACUAUAUGGCAUCCCUACUAUCUUAUCCAUUAGUCUGCCCUGGCUUACUUUCAUUAUUUCACUGAUGGCCUAGAACCCUGCCCCCUACCCUUAGCCUCACACGACUCGCUUUUAGUAGUCAACUCCCUUCUCUCACCCUUACUCCUAUUGUCUCCAUGCCUAUAUGAGAGUGCUAGUCCGCUACUCCUCUCUUAAGGAAUCCCAUUAAUUAGUAUAAGAAUGUGAAGCGUAACUCCACUCUAAAGAAGUCAACUAACUAGUAUGAUAUUGAUUUCUAGUUAUUAUCGAGUAAUGUACUUGGUGGUUAUUGGUAGUUAUUCCCGAGUUCUGUAUUUGACAAACACAACAGCCCUAUUCUCUGUAGUUCGAGAGAUGAUCUGGCUUAGACUCCACCAAGCUACUACCAUACCACUCCACAGCUAACUUUAAUCAGACUAAAACCUACGAGCGGCGAGCAGGACAAUCAGUAUAGCUUUUCGAAAGAGAAAGAGAGUAGCCAUGUAGAAUAUGAUCCAAUCCACUAAUAUAAUGGAAAUGAUCUAAUCCAAUCCACUAAUAUAAUGGAAAUGAUCUAAUAUAAUGGAAUAUGUAGUCAUCCACUAAACUCCCUUCUCUCAUGAUUAUUGAAUAGCAUUUAAUAGCGUGCCGACAUUCUUGUGGGUAGCUUGCUUCGGGGGUUAUAUAGUGACCGGGUACCUGUACUAACAAUCCAAAUUCGAUUCCUUAUUUCUGUGCCUCUCUCAACCGACCCCAAGCAUGAAAGGCGAUUCUGAAAGUGUAGUUAUCAAGGCAGCAGUUAUUGGAGUCAAAGAAGAAAGUAGUGAGUCAGCAGAACUAGCAUCGGUCAUAAUUCUUGUAGCGGAUCAGGUGCAGGCCAUUCUUCUGCUUUGAUUUACACCGCUCCUCACUUUCGAACAGAGCUUGCUGGUUCCCUUGCGAGUUAAGAAAGUCUUUGCUUGUUACACCCCUAACUCCUACGCUCUGAACUUGCAGACCCAAUUGCAGACCCAAUUGCAGCCCAACACGGCUCCGCUCCUGAGCAUGAUAAAAGAGAUGAGGCUGAAACGGAAAGUCAAACAGUCAAAUAAACACGGACUGGUUUCGCAACUCGAUCUCGAAAGUAAUAAAUUCACAGCUAGAUGAGACUCAAACUCCCGGCUUUCUACCUUAACUACAGGCUAUCAAACAUAGAGACUUCUAUAUGCAUUCCUUACAGGUUAAAGGGGCUCCUAAACUUUAGACGAGACCUUCGAGCACAACUACAGUCGGACCUGCGCUCAGUCAACUAAUACUCACUUUACGGACGUUGCUUCAUUUCCCUUACCGCUCUGCUCCGGGGCGUGGGCAUUCAACAGAGAUUCGACUUCGGCUUCUUUCGGGAGCUCAACUAAGUAUGUAUAUAGUAACAGUAUGAGUCUAAGAAUCGGAAUAGUAUAAGAAUAAUAGAAUCGGAAUAAUAUAAGAAUAAUAGAAUCGGAAUAGUAUAAGAAUAAGAGGUAAAGGUAUGGAAUUGGAAUUAGGCCCUUAUAAUAAUUGCUAGCGGAUUCUAAUAAGUUGGAGUUGCGCCUUUAUUAGUACAGGUCACACUAUCCUCGGAGGAAAUCAUCUGGCUUAUUUAAAGAAAGCGGUUUUCGAAUUUGAUAACUGAAGUGCGGGGGCCUGCUUAUGCAGAUCUCUCUGUGGUCGGGAAUGCUAUCUUAAUCGAGGUGCCAGUCAGGAAUGAAUGCUCUCUCGGAAGUAGAAGAGCACUUUUCUUAAGAGGCUAGGCUUAGUUUGGUUGCUGUUCACUUAUGGACGGCUCCUAAACAUGCUUGCUGUUCUUUUAUUCUCCCUGACUCGGAAUCAAUUGCCUUGAUUACCAAAGCUUUUUAUGCUUUGACACCCACUUCCUUUCUUUCUCCCCUAAUAUAAUAUGCCUAUGUUUUCUUUUUGACGAAGCUUCAAGCCAGAUCAGCUCCUAUCUGGAUUUCAUAAUACCCCGUGCUGCCCAAUCACGCUGUAUAUCUUAGCUCGAAUCGAUCUCAUUCUAUAGAGGACCUACUUUAUAUCUUAGCUCGAAUCGAUCGAUCUCAUUCUAUAGAGGACCCAUCCUUACACGGAUAGGAAAGAAACCACCCCAAUGCUUUAAAUGUUAUUUGGCCUUACUGAACUGUAGGAACGGCAAAGAGCAAUUCUUUCUAUAAUUGAUAUCGGGCCUUCAUCCGUUUGAAGCAAGACGCCAAAUCCUUCAUAGUUCUUAGCACGACAUGCCACUGUCUAAAUGAGGUAAACUCUUCCAGAGGUUCGUUUUCUCGAGCCAACCUCGGCUUAUCUCAGUGAAAAAAGAAAAGCUUCCCCCACAGAUAUGACGAUGCUAUCAAUUUGAUAUUGAUAGAAUAGAAUCGUUGUCCAAAAUUCGUCCAGUUAUGGUCUUUCCAAUUCCAAUGCAAGCCCAUCUCACCUGCUAUAGCAUUAUAGGUAAAAGAGAAUAAGUACGGCUCCUAGCGCUUUCAUCGUGGAACCGAGAUUGAUUCGAUAAAGAAAGACCAGUGGUUCCCCAGACUCUCAAUUAAGAAUUCACAUCCGGGGGGAAAAAGCGCCUUCUAAACCCGUGGUAGAGGUGGAGCUCACAUAUAGUCUGAUUCUCAAACCUAUGAUGGAUAGGUUUUACUAGUAUCCAGUCCAACUUGCUUGUAUUAAGCAUAACGCUCUCUCUUCUUCUACUCUAAAGAUGGAUCUUUUCUCUUGUUUAAGAAGUGACGUUUGCUCCUAUCGUAGAUAAGAUAAGAGUUAAGGAAUUGAUAUAGCUGAAUCCAAUCCCCUAGCUAGGUUUGAGUUUGAAAGAAGAACUUCAAUUUGAGAGAAAAUCUGGCAAUAGCUCUAGGGCAGGUUCGUCCUUUAGCUUACGUCAAGCAUUUCCCAUCCUAAUACCACUUGUCACCUUACUACCGACCCCCUAGUAUGAUUUUUCUGAGGAUAGGUUCAAUUUGGCAAUUUCGUUCUUGCUCGCCUGAUAGUAAGUGGUUAAAUGGCUGUGGCAUGAAUAAGUUGGCCUUGAUUGCUAGGUUUUCCGCUCGUGCUUUGAUAACGUUAAAAGGUAUGCUGCGGGUAAAAUCCAUGUUCAAAGGAAGCAGAUGGGUAAUAUAGCUAAGUUAAGCUACGUUGUCAUCAGUCUAAGGGGAGGCAAGCGAAGGUGAGAUGGAAUAUAGAAGGGCCUGUCGAGGCAGAUAUGAGAUCUCUGGCCUGUCCCAGGAAAGUAGGUUAUUGCCUGUAGUGAUUACUGUCCUCAAGGUCUAAUCCAUGGUGAAUACGUAAUUCGAUCUCCGGGAAGGAAAGAAGGAUCCUUGCCUACUAUAGAAGCUAAGGUAUGAGUUAAAGCAAGAAGGCAUAGCUAUAGGUUAAAAGAAUACCGAAUUGAUGAAGCCAGCCGAAAGAACUCUAUUAUUAAGGGAAGUAAAGGAGAGGCCCUUAUAGUAAGUUGCGGAGUCCUGUGAUAGGAUCCUUAAAGUAGUGGUCCAAAGAGAGUCAAAUGGACGGAAACCCUCCACAGGAAAAAAAGGGAAACAAAGCUUGCACUCUCCGGGCAAGGAAAUCUGAUCAUAGCUAUAUGUAACUGACCUCAACACGACAUUUGGCAGGCAAGACUAUACGCGAAUCAACUUUCGAAGGGAAGGAAGGAAUACUGGUGGUCUCGUCUCGGUCAAAGAAAUGCGAUCAUCGCGCCCUUGACUCAUCUUCUCCGGGCAGCGGAUACUUCAAAUAGUGUGAAAGAGGUGGGUAAGCAGGCAUUGAUAGGAUAUGAUAGUCCUUUAUGAGCCAGUCGAUGGUUAACGAACCGGGUAAUCUAGUCCGCAUUUCUAGCAUAGAAGAUGGCUCUCGUCCUUGUCUUUGAGAAGAGAACUUGUUUAAAAAGACACUCAUUCGAAAAGAACAGAACUUCACUUGUCUUUGAGAGGAGAAGGAUCAACUUGAGAGAAAGCUCCAUAUCUAACUAUUGUGGAAAGUCGAUAAAGUAUAAAGUAAGGUUUUGUAAAGCGACGAAGAGCUGAUCUGUACUUUGAGUAUCGUUAAGAAGUCUCUGUCCAUGUCAGGAUCAGGAGCAAUCUAUCGAAGUGAAAAGACAAGAGGUGAAAAGAAAACAGCACGGAAUAAGUCUCGGAAAAGCAUUCCCUACUCUCAAAAGUCAAGAUGAAGCGACAGAACAAGCUGAAAACUGUUAACCUAAGCGCUUACGUGAGUUCCAGAAACAAGCAACAGCAAAGUAGAAACUUCUUAAUUACAAGAUUAUGUCCGUUUUGAAAGAAGCUGCUAACGUAAGUAAUAGGUUUCGAGUGGAAAUAGAGUCAUCGGGAGUAGUUAAUCGCUACCUUGUUGCAAAUGGUAGGUAAGUACGAACCACUUGUUUAGUAUACGCUUGUGUAGUUUCCUCGGCGCAUUAGGAAGUUGUAAAAGUGAACUACGGGGUCUCUUUUCUAGCUUAAAGAGAGUAAGGCAAGUAAUAUAGUAAAGGGCUCUGGGGGUACGAGUAUUGUCUAGUGGUUACUUGGCGCCUGCUUGCCUGAUAGCCUACGUAGCUUGUCUUCUUGGUGGACUUAAUCAUAACUCUUACUAACUAAGUUAACGCGUUUUACAAAGCUUGUUUGUUUGCUUCUUUAUAAAGGAAUAGUGGUUGACUAUGUGGUGAUAUAAUUGAUUAACGGUUGAGCAUUGCCUAUGCAUCGCUUACCCGAAUUCAUCGUUAGUGAGCUGGCAGGUUAGGAAUAGCCAGUAAGUGGGACCAUUUGGAAGCAGUGCGAAAUAAAGGUGUUUGGGAAGCGGGAAUAUAAUAAAACAGUGGAUUUCCUACAAUUUCAAUUGAACAGAGCUUCAACUUAGAGAAAUCUGUCUUCUUACACUUCUAGCCUUUUGCUUCUUAUGGGCUUCAUAACCGAGUUAGUUGUGGUCCAAGUCUUGUAUGGGCUUCAUAACCGAGUUAGUUGUGGUCCAAGUCAAGUCCCUUUAUCAGUGAAUUCGUUUUUAAGCAAAAGAAAAGCCAAGAGCUGCUCUGUCUUUACCAACUUCAUUCUAUACCCCAUGUGCUUGAGAGUCCAGUUUCAAUUCAACAGGGCGCUGAAAGGAUUCAAUUAAUUCUUCUUAACUUCAAUACGAGGUCGGAAAGAUAUAAUCAACAGUUACAAGAGAAUCAGCUGUGUUGGCCGACUACACUCUGUUAGCGCAAGUAAGUCAAAGAUGCAAAUGCUAUUAAGUAUAGAAAAUGGGAAUAUUCACCCUCCUGAUAUACUCGGAGCAAGAUACAAGUCCAGGUCCAGGCCCAAAACAAGAGUACUCUGUCUAAGGGAGCAAGUUUAGGAAGAAUCAUCAGAAUCCAAUACUGGUUCUUGUGCCGCUGUAGCUACUUGUCGGCCUGUUCCAGUUCUAAGAUCAUCUGCAGGAGAAUAGCCAGAUUGUCUGUAUCUUUCUGUGAGAUAAGUCGGAUCUGGUAAGUAAGCGGGUAAAGAAUAAGUCAAGAGUGGAAUUAGAAGCGAGUCCUGUGUUCGUGAGCUUAAGUCUCCUUUCCUCAAUUCCUAUUAGAUAGGUAGGCGGGCGAGUUAGAUGAGAUGGAUGCGCCAGAGGUAUUCUAUAGGAGAGGAGCUAGAAAGAUGUUAGGCAGAAAUGACUUCUAAGGCCUGUUGAUUAGUUUCAUCAGUAGGUGUUGGCAGUUCAACAACAAGUCGAGGUCGAGGAAGACCUUUGCACCCGUUGCUUGUUCGUUAGUUGAUGGACUUGUUUCUUUCAAAUACAGAUAGAUUAUUAGCUAUUUCACCUUAUCCUUAUACGAUACGCGAACUCGCUUCCACUGGCAAACAACGUUAGUACAGAGGAUUUCAGACAGUUGCUCUACCCAGGACAGCUUCUUUCUAGGCGCCAUACCGAACUCGACACUCAGUUCAUCAUGUCAUUGCCUCUGAUCUUGCCUCUGCCCUGGCUCUUUGACUACUUAGUUCCAUCCUUAGUCUACGGAUUUCUAUUCUUCUUCUGUUACUACCACUACUGAGUUGCCGGCUAACUGGUACUCUUACUUAAGAGAACUACUUGAAACUACUAGCUUUCCUACUUGACUACCUCCACUAAAGCUUGCUUCCUUGCCUCCUACCAAGUCUUGUGUUCGGGUGCCGAAGAGCUUAGACGAAAUAGGUAUAUUACUUAUUAUGAGUGACAUUCCGAUUGGCGGUAUUUAAAGAGGGAAGAGCCUAGCGCUAUAAGGAAAGGAUGCUAGGGCGUAUAGUCAGAGUGAAGCUACGUAGUCAGACUUAUAUGAAGGAGUGUUAGAGACAAACAGGGCUGUAAGGUCAGUAAUAUCCGUUUUGGGGUUUUUAUUGGCAGUUUUUAAGAAGCAAGUAUAAGGCUAGGCUAACAAUAGAGCAUGGGAUCUGGUUUACCGCUUUUCUUCUUUUACAAAUAUUGGUUUACUGCUUUUCUUCUUUUACUAUUAAGUCAUCUUCCUACCAUUCGGAGGCUUAUAGCUCCAAUACAGCAUUAGUCAACUUCUUUUCUUUGGGUCAGUCAGGGAAUAGUAUGUGUUACGCAUCAAUAUGUGUAGCGCGUUGGAAAUUACAAAACUCAAUUAAUAAUAUAAUGGAUAAGAGUAGAACGGAGUUGAGCUAGCCCUUGCUGGUUGAAUGGAAUUGGAUUCUUCUGAUGAUCUUGUCGGCUUCCCGCGCUUCCUUUUGAAUCUAGCUCUCUUGAGUUUCCCCUUUCUUUUGCUUUUGAGUGAGCUUGCUUAUUACAACAAAUUCUUCGUUUUUCUAGCGUUUCUGUGUUCUCUUCUCCACCUUUUAUUCUUGCUCCAAUUCGGGAAUAAAUCCGUUUUUCAUUAAGGAUUUUUGGUUCUUCUUUGAAACUCUCUCUUUCAUCGACGUAGUAUAAGGAAUAGUCAGGAUAUCUGGAAUGAAACUAAGUUGUCAAAGAAUGGGUUUUUUGAUAGGUCCGAAUGAAACUCUGCAGUCAGGAUACCGAGAUACUCCGGGUGAGGAUACUAGUACUUACUAGGGGAAUGUACACCAUCAAGUCAUAAUUGACUAGUGAAUAAUCGGAAUCGAAAACUAGGUGAUACAGGAGAACCGGGGUGCUAUGAUAGAACCAAACUCAGUAGUCCAAGAUUUUCACUCCGUUUUAAUCAAACUAACAAGCGGGGAAUCCAACGAGAAAGUAAGGCUACUAAUACAAUAACAUAAAAUCAAGAGUUCAACUAAGUAUUAUCAGAAUGGUAGCUCUAUAUGGAGGGGGCAGAAUAUAACCCCAUAAGCCAGGAUCAAACAAGUGAGUAAAGGAAAGUAACCUAACAAGCCAGAAUGCAAGAGGGGAGCGUAAGGUUUUCAGUUUGAAUUCCACGAGAAGGUUCAGGAUACUAAACAAAUCUCCGAGCUAUAAGACUAAAAGGAAGGAAUCGCAGGAAUGAAUCUCAAGCAAUAGACACUAAACCUCGACCAGUUUUUUGGUGCGGUAACUUAGUUUCAUGUUGCAAUGCGGCACAGAGAUGAACAAUAAGAUAGAUAAUGGACUUUACGCGUAGAGAGAAGACUCGGGAAAUCCUUAUUGUUGAGUUAGUUUCAUUAAAGAAUGCGCUUAACAACUUUCAUUUUCAUAAUCAAGUUUCUGUCGACGCUCGAAGUGUGUUUGUGCCAUGCCAUACUCCGUUUUUCAAUCAAAUAGAAGAGCUAUCGUUCAAUGAAAAAAGAUUGUUUUUUCUCAAAAGUAGAAUAACUAGAUCCCUUGUUUAAGCCUCGGAAGUGGGAUGGAAGUCCUAGAAUCAAAGACAGAAAUAGGAACCCAAACACUGAUACCAAGACAACAACCAUUAGAUACUAGGAUCGAACUAAGUAAACCGAGCCUUACUACUCGAAUAACACAGGCCAAGCAACGCCCUAUUCUAUGUCCCAGCGGACCAAGCCCUACUACUCGCACCAGAUGCCACGCCUUACUGAUCUAGGUACAUCCCAAGCCUUACUCGCCAGUGGACCAACAACAAAUUCGGGUAGUCAAUCUUACGCUCACUAACUUUGACUAUAUUACUAUUCAUAAUGGAACUGGGGACCAAGCUUUUCUACUAUUAAUAAAGAAGCGAACUACAACUGAUGAGAAUAGAAUCAAUGAAACAAAGCUUUCACUUAUAAAUAGGGCUCCCUUACUGUCUCUGAAACUUAUACUAAUCUAACGCCCGGCAUUCCUUCCUUUGAGCUUUGGUCUGCCCUUACUUGCUUUGAAACUAACUACCCGGGGGCUACAUGAGAAAACUAAGAAAAAGCAAUCGUACAUUAACCCUAAGAAUUGAACCACUACGGAUAACACUGCCAAUAAGCCUGCUCCCUACUACCUUAAAGCAAGCCUUGCUUUGCUACAUACGAGGCUGCCCUACCUUGCUUCGCUCUGUCACUAAUGCUUAGAAUACUUACUCCCAGGGGGCGCGCGCCUUUUAUUCAUGAAAUAUCGAUCCGGGGCAAUACAUCCGAUGGAGCACAAACCUUGAAAACUAUAUAUCCUUGCUUUCAUUCUGCAGUGAGUACUUUUCGUACUUUCUUCUUAAUAUAAAGAAAUCCACAGUGCCUAACUACUUUAACUACUAAUGAAAAGGCUCGAACUGGGGUAGGCCCAAGCUUUCCUCUUGACUCUCUAUAGCCCGCUCCCAACUCCAAUAGCGCCGACACCUUAUUUCACCUUGAAUGCCUUUGCUUUUAGUCUGACUUUCUGAAAUCUCAUUCUACUCUCCUUGCUUUCAGUCCUUAGCUACCAACUCUCAGAUCUCAACAACUACUGGAAAGAAUGCAACAGGUGCUUCUCGUACUAUAACUCGAAUUGGGGAAAGCGACUCCUACUUAUAAUACUUAUACAGCAACUUGCAAGGCUACUACCACUACUUCUUCGAAUGGCACUAAUGCUUUUUAGGCAAUAGCUGCUGAUCCAUAUCUUUUAUCUUCUCAUAGGGAAUCGAACACUACCUAAGGCUAGGGCUUAUAAGGCUUUAACUAUAACGAAGCAGUCUGUCGCUACUACUAUUGCCGAAGCAGUCUGUCGCUACUACUAUUGACUAUUUGGAUGCUACUAGGCUAUUAGAAUCAGCUACUACCUAAUGGAAUGGAACUGGGAAUAAAAGAAUGCGCCUACUACCUAUAAGAUUGAAAAAGGCAACUAGCAAUUCCACUCAUAAGUAAGAGGAUGGAAUCACUGCUUAAAAGCCUUAUACUAUAGCAUAUGAGUAUGUCUCUCUUGACUUUCAAACUCAACAAAGUGCCCACCAAUACUUAUCUUCUUCUCAUAUAUAAUUCAAUAAGUGCUCAUAAAAGAAUUGAGCCCCUACUGAAAAGAAUGGAACUGGUGCUGAUAAGAAUCCAACUGGGCAUACUGGAUAUGGGUAGUGGAGCAUAGAACCAAACAAAGGUGUAUAAGAAGGGGAUUAGUUAGCAGAGAUCAGAAUUCCAAUAAGUGGUCAAAGAAUUGCUUAUGAGGGCUGUAAGACAUAAUGAAGUGUGUCAGUGUACAAGAAUCGAACGCUGUAUAAGUGAUAUCGGGAAUACAGAAUAUGGGUCGCUAGUCUCCGCUUUGCACUUUAGUAAUAGCAAGGUGCUAAGAGCCUAGGAAUCUAGAAUAUAAGUAAUUAGUCCAAGAUUUUCACUAAGACAUAAGAAGCAAACAAACAAGUAGGAAUUUAUGAAUUAACUCCGGGCGUGGUAGGUUGGAAUUUCACUCGUGCUGACAAGAGAACAAUUUCGAAAUCAAUAUUGGAACACACCCCAUAAAGAAUUGCACUAAUAAUCCGGAAUGAAAGGCAGGAUAGUAAGACUAAAGGCAAAGAACGGAAGGGACAACUAAAAGAAUAAGAUAAAAGAGUGGCCGGGCUAACUCUCUCACAUAAGAAUUUCAGAUGGUAGCGGAAGUAAUGAUUUCUCCCUCCUCACUCUCUAACACAGGAAUGCCCGGCAUUAGUGGCAUACCCAAACUCAUACAUGGGGCCUCAAGUCACUAAAAUACAGGCAAGCGACAAAGCUGCUAACGACUCUCUAACUCGAACUAAGUAGAGUACUUUUUCAUUCUUUGCUACAGUUCAGUAAUUCUUAUUUCAUACUUGGAUCAUUCUUUAAUCAUAAGAAGAUGUAUCCUGACUUCUGUGUUGAAUUCCCAUACUCAUAUGUUUCACUCUGAUAUCGCUUAGUUCAAUAAUGCAAGGUACAAUUAGAAGAUAGAACCAAAGAAGGGAGUGUCGGUUUUAACCAAGGAGUGGGCAAGCGGGAAUGAAAGCACGGGCAAGCUACUGUUCUCGGGGCCUGGCAAUGAGAAUGGAAGAAUGACUCCUUAACUAAAGCAGCGCUGCGGUGAAUGUUCGUAGGUUAAUGCGAGAAACCUUAGGAACGAAACAACCCUGCCUAUAUUGCUUGUAUCAAUAGCACAUAGGUAUCAAUGGUGUCUCAAUGGCAUAGGUAGCAAUGAACACCACUAUAUAUUGCGUGUAUCAAUAGCACAUAGAUAGUAUCAAUACAAUAACAGAGCAGAAUCAAGUUUCCUCUGUGUCAAUUCGAUUCUUAAAGAUGGGUUUCCUCAGUGCUCUUACCUUUUCACCUUCAUUAUUAUAUGACAAUUACCAUCAUUCUAUUGCUAUUACUUAGCUUUGGAACCCGUUAUUCUCUGACUUAGCUUUGGAACCGAUGAUGCAAUUACUUAGCUUCGGAACCCAUUAUGCAAUUACUACAGGCCAGGCAUCCACGGAGCGGUCACACACCACAUCUUACAUUAGGGACAUAUAUCGAAGGUACCUUGCACAGUAGUCAAUACAGAAUGAAAGCGGAGGAAACCAGUAUGGAACACCGACACAAGCAUACCUACCCAUGGGAUAAACAUACCAUAGUACCCACCACAUACCCAAGGGAGAAACAAACACACAUGCGCUAUAGCUCCCAUGCAACCACAUACUCUUCAAGUAGCACUACAAUUUCUUCAUUUGGCAUAGCUCAUUCUUUCAUUUAAGUAAACAUAGCUCAGCCUACCUCAACUCAAGGUAACGUCAACAAGUCUUUCGCUUGUUGGUUCGAUGCCCAGUAAUAGCGGGUACCUCGUUAAUUCAUAGGUAGGUGGUUGGUGCACUCUCAAAUGCUUUUAGGGACCAUCAAUAGUUAAGUAGACACUGCUUUCGAGUUGGGCAAUGCAGACUUGAGGCAGGGAGUAAUAGAAUGAGACCCCUUAGAGGCAGUAAAACUAGGCAAGUAAGGAGUCAGGUUCAGUAACAAUAGUCCUAAAAGCAGUGGAGCAGGCCUAUAAUACAGUUUAGUCUGACUAGUAGCUGGGGUUGGUGAAGAAGUAAUGUUUAGGGUUGAUUGCCUCUAUGCGCUAUUGCCGGUAAGUCGGCGUAUUUUGUAUUAUAAGUUAGAUUAUGAGAAGCACUGGUUUGAUUAUGAGGGGAUCCCCUAGGAUUUUGUUCUUUAUUGACUACUUGGUAUGGUAGCGGCUCUCCGUGGGCUAAUAAAGAACCUAAGUGGUUGGAUGCCCUGCCCCCAGCUCAAGUCUUAUUGUUAGUGGUUCUCUUCCUGGUGCGCUAGUGAAGGUCCUGUCCAGUUUGCCUGGUUUCUAUCGUUUUAUGCCUUAGUUCCAUUCCAUUAAGUAAUAGCUCUAUUCUGGUUUUCCCGGGUGCAAUUCUUUGUAUUAGUUGCAGGGAUGCGCUAGAGCGUAGCCAUAUUCUGAUUCCUCCGUUCGAAAGUCAAUAAAAGCAAGUAAAGAAACCCCGAGUCAUAGUGUGUUUGAAAACGAGGAGCGGAAGCCUCUAACUAACACAUAGGCAUUUCUUUAUGUAUUUCAGUAGCAACUAUAGGAAUUGGAGCUAGGAGACAAAGGCUAAGAGCCUGUAAAGUCAGUCGAAAAGCAAGUGAAGUCAGACUUAAGGGGCUGUCGGAUAAGCCGGAGUUCCUAGUUAAAGCAGUCUUGUCAGCAGUAGUUGUUAUAGGCCCGACUACUGUAAGCUAAUCCCAUAGUGAGUAACUAGGCGGUGGAAGCAAAUCUGAUAGUUGGAGUUAGGCGGGGAAGUGGAAGAAAGGCCUUCCAGAUAGGAUUCUCAAAGAUAGGAACGAGCCUAUCUACUGGUUUCCUUGCACAUGAAAAGGAUGAUUGUACAUCUUCGAGACACAAGAUAUUGAAAGAUUCUCCAUUGUUCUUGAUUUAUGGAAAUAACAUAUCAUAGAUAGAUCUUGUUGAAUAUCAUAGAUGGAUCUUGUUUAUUGCUUGGUGGCUGAUCAUAUCAUAGAUGGAUCUUGUUUAUUGCUUGGUGGCUGAUCAAUGAAUGCGUCUGUCUUUCUCUCAUGAGGGACUUGAGCCCAAUAGUGCUGUUUCGACGGCUAAGUAUCUAUUUGUGGGAAGACCUUAUGUCUCAGGCGCUACGGUGCGAGACGUGUUAUCCGGCAAUGCGCGGUCAGAUCAUUUCUUGGAAGCAAGCAAGGAUCGAGAUAUUCCGCUUUGAUUAGCGAGGCAUCAGUCGGUUUCAUGGUUUCUAUCACUUCCGGAAGUUCAAGAAGAUCUAUCAUCUUUGAUUAUUGGAAUCCUCCUUGGCCAGGCCAGCAACUGAAAAUGCCUGCAACACACUGAUUCGAGUCCUCGAGUUAGCUCAUCUGCUAGUGAGCCUUCUUCUUCUGCAAUAGAUCAGGAACCCCGCCUUUCUUCAGCCCAUGAACUAAGCCGGCCAUUAACAUCGUCCUAAUUUCGUUUGAUCGGUAUUUUCGCUUGUUUUUCAUCGUGACUGGAACGACGAUACAACCUAAACCCUUCUCUGCUACCAAAUCAUAGAUCUUCCAGAGAAGACCAAACCGAAUGAGCUCGCUCGGUUCUCGUCUGAUACUAAAUUCCUUUCAUAGCUGCUAGAUCUCUGAUGAAAUUCCUUUCAUAGCUGCUAGAUCUCUGAUUCAACGGAAUAUACAUUGGACUUUGAUAUGCUCCACCAACUGUAGUAUAUCUUACAGCUCAAAGAAAAAGUGUUAUUAGGGGGGCUUAGGUCGAUCUCCAAAAUAACCUAACUCAACUCGUGGCUGGCUAUAGUAUCUCUUAACAAAGAGUCGAACGAACUUCCUUAUCAUACUCCUAUUUAGGUGCACAUAAGGACUAAGAUUGGUUUGCAGCUUCAAGCAUCAAAUGUAAUAAAGACAGAUAUACUAACACCCACCCCAAGGUACGACUCAUGAGAACAAUGGUCACAACUAAAUCCAAAUAAUUCCAUUCAGCUGUGGGC